UCAUGCAUUGAGUUAUGUAUCUGUAGUCUCUUUUAAUCUGUAACAUUCCCAUAGACUUUCGUUGUCUUUUGUGGCGUUGACAUUUUGGAAGAACCUAGACCUCUCCUCCUUUUCUCUAGUAGAGUGUUCCUCAUUUAGGGGCUUAUCUGGUAUCUCCUUGUCAGUAGAUUCAGUAUCCUUUUACACAUUCUAAAGUGAGGGGCCGGCCCUGUGGCAUAAUGGUUAAGUUCGGCUCUGCCAGGUUCUUGGGUUCGGAUCCUGGGUGUGGACCUAUACCACUCAUAAACCAUCUUUGGCAGUGACCCACAUAUAAAGUGGAGGAAGAUGGCGCCACUGUUAACUCAGGGCUAAUCUUCCUCAAACAAACAAAAAAAACGGAAGAUUAGCAACAGAUGUUAGUUCAGGGCUAGUCUUCCUUAGCAAAAAAACAAAUAGAAAGUGAGAAAAGAGUAUUACAUUCAAAGUGAUGCGGAGUCGGUGAGCUGAGGAGUCGAAAGAAAGAUUUCUUGGACUCUCAAGAUCUGGCAGUAGUGCUCUUUUAUUUAGAGAAUAGUGUAGCAUGGGGACAGGACCCAUGGGCAGGCAGAGCUGCUGUGUGGGGACAGGACCCACGGGCAGUCAGAGCUCCUGCUGCUGCCCCGAGUUGAGGGUUAGGGCUAAAUUUAAGGCAUAGGUGUGUGAGUCAUCUCUUUACGAAGACAAAGGAAAGAACAUGAAAAAAAGUUAAAGUGGUAUCAGUGCAGGUGGGGUCUGGUCGUUGGGUGAUCCCAUGACUUUUAGACAAGAAUCAAAUCGGAUUAAGUAAAGGUCAGAAGCCACCACCCUAAAUCAGUUACAUGAGAUUGCCAGACAGCAACCAACUUAAGUUCUUGCCUUCCCCAUUAAAAGUUUCUAGGGAAAGGUCAUCUCUCUUCUUCUUCCUGGUACAGAGAGGGAGGCACCUUUACAGAUAGAGAUUUACCUUACAAACGUAAAUGUGUCCCAACAAGGGCAAGUUCCAUUCCUCAGAGCCUCCUUCCCUUUCCCAGUUUAUCAAAAGCAAUCAGCCCCAAACAAUCCCCGAUGCCAAAGAGACAUAUCCUGGGGUGGCCAAUUUCAGGUCCCUACAAGGUCAUCCCCCCUUCCUUCACAAAUGCAAAUGUCUCUCAAAAGGGCAAGCAAAAUUCCAGUCCUCGGAGCCUGCUUCUCAUGUGCAGUUUUAAAAGUAACCAGCCUAAAAUCCUCAUCAAAAGGAUCAAUUUAAAGCAAAAUUUAGGUCAAACAGUUUGAAAGAAUUAUUAGAAGUUGAAAUGGAAAACCAAAACCUGUUGUAGAAUCAACUUCUUAGAAAAUGUUUAGAAUAAGAGACUUUUCAAUCCUUCAUAUUGCUAUAAAUAGUAUUGAUUGGCUCAACAACUGAAUUUUUAAAAGUCAAGAAAUGUCUUGGUGUUAGGGUGACCUUAGGUGGUUUUAUUUCACUUCAUCAUGAAUUCAGCUCUCCAGAAAGCCAGUGGUAUCUUUCUGUUGGAAACAAAUUCCAACUAUUGCUAAAUUUAUUUAACAAGCAUUAUUAAAUUCUUAUUAUCUGCCAGACACUGGGUGGAUCCUGGGAAUACAAAGAAUAAAACACAGACUUUGUAUGCUAUGCUCUGUAUAACCAGAUAACCAGAGAAGCUAACAUGCCCCAGAGGACAGGAGGAGCCUCUGCUUGGAUUUAGUUUGUAACUGUGCCGGAGUGGGAAUGCCUGGUUGCUCCUUUCUGCCCGAAAGGAAAUCCCUGUUGCUCUGAUGAGAGUCACAUCCAUCUGCAAGAAAACUAAUCUUGCUGCUGCUUGGCAUUUUUACCUAUUCCAGUGCAUUAAAAAUGACUAAAUCAUAGUGAAUAGUUUAGUGCAGGCAAUCCCUUUAAGAGACUUGGGGAUAAGGUAGAUUAUUUCUCUUAAUGCUCGAAUUCUUGAAUUGUUGCAAUUGUUUUGUACGAUAUUCAAUGCCCAGGAAUUCACUUAAAAAAUAAUAGCACUAAAUUUUUAAUUAUGUAUCUAUUUAUGCAUUGUUCCCAGCGGUAUCAUAGGUGAAUGCUUAAACAUUAUUUUAAGGUGAAAAAUGAUUUUUAAGUCUGAAGAUAAGACAACUUUUCAUUUUCUAAUGCUGUGACCAUAGUUACAGCUUUGUUCCUGACUCUUGCCAUGUGGCAGUGUCCUAGGCAGUUCGUUUUAUCUGAAGACUAAUGCGUUCUCAGCCAUUCAACUUUGUGACUCUGGUUUCUGAAGGGAAAUGUCGUUAUACGUGGGUUGCCUAAAAUACUACCAUUUAAACUUAGAAAUAAAACGCUAAUGUGUGAAGCUGGGAUAAUUUCUAAUAAGAGUACCGCUAACGAUAAUUUCUUUAUUUUCCAGACAUGUUUUAACAUAGGGGAAUGGGUAUGGUUGUACUAUUGCAGAUGUUCUUUAUUUUUAACUAAAAUUGUAUUACCUGGGAAGAUUGAUUUUUUUCAUGUAAUUCUCAAUAUAAGAAUAAAGAAAUGUAAUAGUUGUCUAUUCUAAAUUCUGUAUUGCAUUUUGUUAAGACAGUUACUAAAUACCAGGCCAAAGCAAAGAAGCUGUGAUGUUAUAUUGUCAGAAAUAUGGCUUGAGAAGGCAGCUGGGGAACAGAAGGGAAUUCAAGAAGACCCAUA
rnacentral:lncRNA from 1 species